AUUUAAAAAUAAAGGAAGAAGUUAUACGGGAAACAAGGAUUGGGGUCGGGUCUGAUGUACUUUGGGUUGUUUUUUUAUGGGCUUUUUGGGGAAUUAGGGGCUUGUUGGGUCAUUUUGGGCAAGGUGUUUUCUUGUAUACAUUCAGUGUACUUGGUUUCUCCUUUUGAUAUAUACAAUAUUUUUACUUAUCAAAAAAAAAAAUU